GCCGGGCGUGGUGGCUCAUGCCUGUAAUCCCACCACUUUGGGAGGCCGAGAUGGGUGGAUCACCUGAGGUCAGGAGUUCGAGACCAGCCUGACCAACAUGGUGAAACCCCGUCUCUA
ensembl:misc_RNA Metazoa_SRP Metazoan signal recognition particle RNA